GGGAGGAAUCAUGGACAAUGCACGAAAGUGUGAUCCUGCUAUAUCGCGUGAGUGAUGAAGGGUAUAUUGCUUGUAAAACUCUUUCAGCAAGAACAUGCUUGCAUGUAUAUGGAUAGUGACGUGUCUUGCAGAAGAAGCCCCGGCUAAUAUCUGUGCCAGCAGCCGCGGUAAUACAGAAGGGGCAAGUGUUAUUCGGAAUAAUUGGGCGUAAAUGGCGUGUAGGUUGUGUUUCGUAGCUUUUUGUUAAAUCCUUAUUGAUAUACUAAGUAAAGCGAAAAGAACGGUUACACUGGAGAC
rnacentral:rRNA from 1 species